rnacentral:lncRNA from 1 species
UCCUUAUGGGCCUGGUUGAGGGCUACCGUGUGAACGGCGGCCCGGCUGGCGAGGGCCUGGACCCGCUGUACCCCGGCGAGUCGUUCGACCCCCUGGGCCUGGCUGACGACCCGGACACCUUCGCCGAGCUCAAGGUCAAGGAGAUCAAGAACGGCCGCCUGGCCAUGUUCUCCAUGUUCGGCUUCUUCGUGCAGGCCAUUGUGACCGGCAAGGGCCCGAUUGAGAACCUGAACGAUCACCUCGCCAACCCGGCCGUCAACAACGCCUUCGCCUUCGCCACCAAGUUCACCCCGAGCGCGUAAAUAUGCAACAUGCAGCUUUGCGACUGCGAUUUUGGCCUGCUGACGCUGGCAUUCGUGGAUUAGCGGAGUGUUAUCCGUGCGAGCGCU